rnacentral:hammerhead_ribozyme from 1 species
AUUCAUCUGACGAGUCCCGAAUAGGACGAAAUGCGCGUUGUCCUGGAU